UACGAAGGGGGCUAGCGUUGUUCGGAAUUACUGGGCGUAAAGCGUGCGCAGGCGGUUUUGUAAGCCAGAUGUGAAAUCCCCGGGCUUAACCUGGGAAUGGCAUUUGGGACUGCAAGGCUUGAGUGCGGCAGAGGAGACUGGAAUUCCUGGUGUAGCAGUGAAAUGCGUAGAUAUCAGGAGGAACACCGAUGGCGAAGGCAGGUCUCUGGGCCAAUACUGACGCUGAGGAGCGAAAGCGUGGGGAGCGAACAGG
rnacentral:rRNA from 1 species